CCUACGGGUGGCUGCAGUGAGGAAUAUUGGUCAAUGGCCGGGAGGCUGAACCAGCCAAGUCGCGUGAGGGAAGACGGCCCUACGGGUUGUAAACCUCUUUUGUCAGGGAGCAAGGUGCAGGUCGGGACCUGCUGUGAGAGUACCUGAAGAAAAAGCAUCGGCUAACUCCGUGCCAGCAGCCGCGGUAAUACGGAGGAUGCGAGCGUUAUCCGGAUUUAUUGGGUUUAAAGGGUGCGCAGGCGGAGGCACAAGUCAGCGGGAAAAUCGCGGGGCUCAACCCCGCUCCGCCGUUGAAACUGUGUCACUUGAGUGCGCGAAGGGUAGGCGGAAUGCGUGGUGUAGCGGUGAAAUGCUUAGAGAUCAUACAGAACACCGAUUGCGAAGGCAGCUUACCAAUCUAUAUCUGACGUUGAGGCACGAAAGCGUGGGGAGCAAACAGGAUUAGAUACCCGUGUAGUC
rnacentral:rRNA from 1 species